rnacentral:misc_RNA from 1 species
CAACCAUCCUCAUCACAAGCACACGCCCGAAGGCGUUGUUUCGGUUUCGGAACCAACCCUCACAACGAUCCUCAACGAAGUUCCAGGUUCCUGUGACGUAGUGCGGUGGCAACCGACCGACCCCGGCUUCGACCCCCGGCGCGUCCCCAAACAGCUACAGCGUUCGCCACUCGUCCCGCGUUCGUCCUCUUCCUCGAACGAAAAAAGGCGACCUCGAAAGAGGUCACCUCGUCUGCUUCCCGGUAGGGGGCCGCUCAGAACGGAAGAUCGGCAACCCGAAGCUCGAAC